rnacentral:tRNA from 3 species
CAAGACGUAGCUUUAACAAAAGCAUUCAGCUUACACCUGAAAGAUAUCUGCUAAUACCGGAUCGUCUUGA